UUAACUAUUACAUAGUACUCAGACGACACAAAUAUUCAGAGUUUUGGGAUCCUUUGGCGGGCACUCACUAGCCAGAGCCAGUAGCCGAAGCGGCCCGCCAAAGCAACAAAGGUAUAGUAUUCAAGGGUGGGAGAUCUACCCCCGUGAGGGCAUGAACUCUGUAAUGAUCCUUCCGCAGGUUCACCUACGGAAA
rnacentral:misc_RNA from 1 species